UACGUAGGGGGCGAGCGUUGUCCGGAUUUAUUGGGCGUAAAGAGCGUGUAGGCGGCCAGGUAGGUCUGCUGUGAAAACUCGAGGCUCAACCUCGAGACGUCGGCGGAAACCAUCUGGCUAGAGUCCGGAAGAGGAGAGUGGAAUUCCUGGUGUAGCGGUGAAAUGCGCAGAUAUCAGGAAGAACACCUAUGGCGAAGGCAGCUCUCUGGGACGGUACUGACGCUGAGACGCGAAAGCGUGGGGGAGCGAACAGG
rnacentral:rRNA from 1 species